UCCGACUCUGCAAUUUGCAUUUGCAAUUGCAAAAAACCUAAACCCAAAACCCGAAGAAUAAGAACGCCAUUGUUGGAUUUGUGGUGACCGAAAAUUGGCGAAAGCGAAUAGGUUUUAUGUUUGCAGCCAACAUAAGGUAAUCUGAGUUGGGUUAGAAUUUUCCAUUUUGGUUGUGGGUGGAGGCGGAAAUGAUAACCCGCUCUAAAAUUGUGGAGCAGCUCCGAGAUUACCAGAUUCGUCACAAGCGCAACUACUCUGCUCUUACUUUCUUCUCGCCGAAGCCCCAUAUCCAAACCAGGUAGGAUGAGAAUAUCUUGGUCAUGAUGGGUGUAAAGAGCUUGCAGUAUGGUGUGGAGUGGGGAUAUUGCCAAGCCCGUUAGAGUGAUUGAUCUCAAAAAUUUGGGCAGAAGGGGCAAGGCAAUUUCUCUAAUUUUAGAUGAGAACAAAAUAAUAUGAUAGAAGUUAACAUGGUGGGUGCAAAGUUGAAGACAAUGACGCUUAUAUGACAACCUAAUUCUGUAGUAGCAUUGAAAAUGACAAAGGUUGAUGUUGCUGUGGCGAUUGGUUUUGCUUUACUGUUCCUCAUGCUUGUUUUCUCAUCCCUUAUGACCCUUUACUUGAGGCACUUUUGGCUUUUUGGAGUUGUCAUAUGCUUCAAUAUAUUUCUUCCUGCCCGGCUAAGAAUGUCUAGGCAAACAUUAGCGAGGAACAGGGAAAGAAGACUGCCAUUGUCCAUAUGAGAGUUCAUUCUGGUGCGGUGGUAUCUUGCUUGUACACUGGUAGGCAAGGGCUUAUUUCUUGGCUGUUAAUUAAUUUGGUCUUUCGUGGAUGCUCUUGGUGUUCCAAAUACUCUCUAGGAUGUGACUUUUCCCUGCCUCUUUUUGAGGUAGAGGCGGUAUUCAUCUGCACAACCUCUAUAUACACAACCCAAGUGAACUUGUGGUACACCCGUUUCACAUGUAAUGCUUAUAAAACUGAGCCCAGUCAAGAGGCAUAAAAUUUCUUUUGCUUUGUUUCUUAAUUAGCAUGUAGAUUUUCAAUAUUCAAGGAAUUCGGCAUCUGCAGUGCUUUUUUAUACAUUGUCUGCAGCUUUGACUGUGUAGAGUUGUAUAACUUGCAAAUGUAAAUGGUUAUAGUUGAUGAAGAAAUAAAAGAAAAAUUCUCUCUCUGGAAGUUGCAGGCUA